rnacentral:rRNA from 1 species
AGUGAACGCUGGCGGUAGGCCUAACACAUGCAAGUCGAACGGCAGCACAGUAAGAGCUUGCUCUUACGGGUGGCGAGUGGCGGACGGGUGAGGAAUACAUCGGAAUCUACUUUUUCGUGGGGGAUAACGUAGGGAAACUUACGCUAAUACCGCAUACGACCUACGGGUGAAAGCAGGGGAUCUUCGGACCUUGCGCGAUUGAAUGAGCCGAUGUCGGAUUAGCUAGUUGGCGGGGUAAAGGCCCACCAAGGCGACGAUCCGUAGCUGGUCUGAGAGGAUGAUCACCCACACUGGAACUGAGACACGGUCCAGACUCCUACGGGAGGCAGCAGUGGGGAAUAUUGGACAAUGGGCGCAAGCCUGAUCCAGCCAUACCGCGUGGGUGAAGAAGGCCUUCGGGUUGUAAAGCCCUUUUGUGGGGAAAGAAAAGCAGCAGGUUAAUACCCCGCUGUUCUGACGGUACCCAAAGAAUAAGCACCGGCUAACUUCGUG